rnacentral:rRNA from 1 species
AGUGAACGCUGGCGGUAGGCCUAACACAUGCAAGUCGAACGGCAGCACAGUAAGAGCUUGCUCUUACGGGUGGCGAGUGGCGGACGGGUGAGGAAUACAUCGGAAUCUACUUUUUCGUGGGGGAUAACGUAGGGAAACUUACGCUAAUACCGCAUACGACCUACGGGUGGAAGCAGGGGAUCUUCGGACCUUGCGCGAUUGAAUGAGCCGAUGUCGGAUUAGCUAGUUGGCGGGGUAAAGGCCCACCAAGGCGACGAUCCGUAGCUGGUCUGAGAGGAUGAUCAGCCACACUGGAACUGAGACGCGGUCCAGACUCCUACGGGAGGCAGCAGUGGGGAAUAUUGGACAAUGGGCGCAAGCCUGAUCCAGCCAUACCGCGUGGGUGAAGAAGGCCUUCGGGUUGUAAAGCCCUUUUGUUGGGAAAGAAAAGCAGCAGGUUAAUACCCCGCUGUUCUGACGGUACCCAAAGAAUAAGCACCGGCUAACUUCGUG